GUUCAACAUGAAGAUUCAACAUUUGAAGAUUACUUAGAAAUUUCCAAUUUCUGAACUUAAAGGGAAGACUUGUAGAUCAUUCAGUUUAGCUGUGCUGGUUGCCUAGCUAACACAGGCCACAAACCUUCAGUUCAUUGGGAUCUGACCUACUCUGAAUACCAUGGUUUGAUCCAGCAUGACCUAAGACAACUUUAAUGAGGACAGGGGCUUUUUAUGGCAUCCAGAAA